rnacentral:lncRNA from 1 species
ACCCUUGAAUAAGCAGGUGUGUCCAAACUUUUGACUGGUACUGUAUGUAAAAUAUAAUAUAACAAAAACAUAUUUAUGGUCAUGUCAACGGUCACUGUAAUGUCUGACCUUCUCAUGUAACAUUAGCACCUGUGAGGCAAUUAUUCACAUUUCUUAACCUCUGGUUAUUCUGCCUCCUCUACUGGCUCAAGUUAUUAUACCUUCCUAGUUUGCUUUCCAUAAAGUCUGUCCUCAUGAGGAGUUAGAAACCUCAGAGCUCCAAGGCUGACAGAGGGGCAGGGUAACCAAUCCUAAGAGCCGAAGAGGUUGACUAAGAGGCGCAGAGAAUAUGGUGGGAGCUGAGGGAGCAUGUUGGACCUCUGCCAGGGCAGCUGGAGGAGCCAGAGACAGAAUCACACAGUCAGUCAGUCACGGGGAGUGCUGUCUGUCAUCGAAACAUUAAUGGCUUGGAUCCAUCAGGUCAUCAUGCAAUUUUAAAAGACACUAAAAGGAAGACUUUGAUCCUAUCAUAAACAACAUAAAGAGCAGUCAAUCACAGAAAAGUGUGGGAUCAUGUUUGAAAACAAAGCUGGAGAUUCGAAUCAAAGUGAUGGAGACAGAAUUUUUUAUUCCUUCAUGUAAAUAAUAGAACACAGAAACAAACGAGUCAGGAAGAAAGAAGUGUACAGUAGAGAGGUCUGUCUAUAGUAGUCACCUGGCUGUGUGGACAUUGAUGUCACUAUAAAACGUAUCCACAGCAGUGCAGGGAAUCUUUGGAGAGGGUGGGAUAUUUUAACCUUUUGGCCUUUUGGUUACUGAGUAAACAUGAAUGAAUAUGCACUAUACCCUCAGCUGAAUACCACCCUACAUAACAGGGAGAAGAUAGCAGAGAUCUGAUUCUAGAUGAUUUAGUAGGGCUUCAAUUCCAGCCUGGAGCAAUCCAUUAAUUAGGUUUACACUGACACAUCAUGAUAUUUCUGACAGUUGAAAGAUUGCCUGCGCACUAGCUAAUUGGAUUAGUCCAAUCGGAGCUGAUGAGACGGAUAUAUGUGACCUCAAAGAUGUGAAGAGUAGGCCCGCCCCUCAGUCUGCUCUGUGCCGUGCAGAGGAGUAGGUUAUAGUGACAACAGCAGCCGUUAGAUCGCUAGUUGCAAGCUAGCUAGCUUGCCACCGGGGCUGGGCGGCGCCCGCCAGUCACCGCUAUACUCCACAGCUCCACGGUUAUGGGCAGAAGGGGGUGAGGGGUUGCCAGAUUGGAGCUGAAAACAUAUUUACACAUGAUCCAAACACAGAACACAGGUGUAUGAUGAGAAAAAGACAGGGCCAGGUGAGCCGGAUGCACUGAUACUAAAAUGAAUGACUACCCUGCAGAUCUCCCUGCCACUGUGGCCUGCCCCUGCCUCUGUGGCCUGCCCCUGCCUCUGCUCUCCCUACGGCCCGAGUACACAGCUGCCUGUGGUACUCCUGUACAUAUUACAUAGCUUAUUUUUUAAUUCUGUUAAGGCUUCUUUAUAGACGACCGUACAAUAAAUCAUGUUGAAAAAAAAGAAAGAAAUAGUUAAUAUAUUUCACUGACUACGAGAAGGAAACUAUGAAAUAAUUUAUCAAAAACAGUAGAGAAUUUUUUUUUUCUUAUAUAUUGAAGCGCUGAUGUUAAAAUGGAUUUUAUAUUCAUGUUGAUAAAUGGUUCUUUUUUUCCAUUCUCUUAUGUUUUCUGUUUUAUUAUCUGCUGAAGCUGGGAUGGACCCAUUGUCUCAAGGUUUAUUCUGAUAUGCUUUGAAGAUACAUGUUGAAGGGACUUUUUGCUACUCAAUCCCGUAUGGAAUUACUUGUAAAUGGGCAAGUUUAAAGAUAUGUUGUUGACAGAAAGCUCUUACAUUCAGUACAAGACUUAGAAACUGGACUGUAAAGGAUGAUAAAAGGUCAUGGGGAUUCAUAAAGAUGAAUCCAUUGCACAACACAAUUUCAAGAGGACGCAUCGGCUGUAAGUAAUUGCACGUUCAAAAGGAUUUCAUUGUAGCCCUUCUGUUCUUUUGGAAAACCUCAGAACAUUUAUUGUCAGAUUUGUUUUGAAAAAUAAGCUGUCAUUUACCAUGAUCAUUGUCUUUUAGCCAUACAUUUCUCUUUUGUUUGAUCAUUUCUUUCUUCAUCUUGAAUUGUUUUUUUUUUCUAGAAAAAGAAUCAGAGACAUCUCUUUUAUUUCCAUCUUCUCUGUAUGCGGGAAGUUUCUCUCAGACAUAAUUUCUUAAGAGCUUCAACAUCACUGGACUAUCCUGUAAAUAAUAACUGUGGUUGACUCCAACACCACUGAAGAAAAUGUGCCACUAACAGAUUGAAAGUUCCACUACACUGUUUUGGUCUAGUCAGGUCAACCCAUGGUCUUGACACCAAACUGAUCAAAAGAGGGAAGUCUGCCUUAAAACACAUUCAUUCUCUCUGACGGUACUACCUUAAAAUACGUAUCACAUACAUUGUAUUCUGGGGAUGCCAAUGCUAGUUCUUUUCCAUUGUUCAUAAACAUGCUCUGGUUUUUCCUUGCAGAGAUGAUGAGUUUCUGUUUAAUUGAAAUGCAGCUGUCAGUUGUAAAGAUUGCCUUGUGUCAGUUUUGCCUCAAUCCCACUUCUGACACCAAUAAGGACGGGGUCAUACAGUUACAUUUCCAUCGGUUACAUGGACCAAAUUUUACCACAUGAAACCAACAGAGCAGAGUUGCCCUAAUCAAACAUGAAAUGAGAGCCUUUGUGCAACCAUUAAGAUAUAAAGGAAAGCGAAAAUCAUCCACUGUACUUUGCUUCAUGAGACAUUACAUUCCCAGCUUCGCUCUCGCAUUUCAUCCACUUGAUUUUACUUCUGUCAGACACAUAAAACAUGUAAUUUUAUGUAUUUUAUCA